CCUACGGGAGGCAGCAGUGGGGAAUAUUGGGCAAUGGAGGCAACUCUGACCCAGCAACGCCGCGUGAGUGAUGAAGGUCUUCGGAUUGUAAACCUCUUUUGCCGGGGAGCAAGCGUGCGUUCGUGAACGCGCGUCGAGAGUACCCGGAGAAAAAGCAUCGGCUAACUCCGUGCCAGCAGCCGCGGUAAUACGGAGGAUGCGAGCGUUAUCCGGAUUUAUUGGGUUUAAAGGGUGCGUAGGCGGGAUGCCAAGUCAGCGGUAAAAAUGCGGUGCUCAAGGCCGUCGAGCCGUUGAAACUGGCGGUCUUGAGUGGGCGAGGAGUGUGCGGAAUGCGUGGUGUAGCGGUGAAAUGCAUAGAUAUCACGAAGAACUCCGAUUGCGAAGGCAGCAUACCGGCGCCCUACUGACGCUGAGGCACGAAAGCGUGGGUAUCGAACAGGAUUAGAUACCCUGGUAGUC
rnacentral:rRNA from 1 species